rnacentral:rRNA from 1 species
GACGAACGCUGGCGGCGUGCCUAAUACAUGCAAGUUGAGCGCUGAAGGCUGGUACUUGUACCAACUGGAUGAGCAGCGAACGGGUGAGUAACGCGUGGGGAAUCUGCCUUUGAGCGGGGGACAACAUUUGGAAACGAAUGCUAAUACCGCAUAAAAACUUUAAACACAAGUUUUAAGUUUGAAAGAUGCAAUUGCAUCACUCAAAGAUGAUCCCGCGUUGUAUUAGCUAGUUGGUGAGGUAAAGGCUCACUAAGGCGAUGAUACAUAGCCGACCUGAGAGGGUGAUCGGCCACAUUGGGACUGAGACACGGCACAAACUCCUACAGGAGGCAGCAGUAGGGAAUCUUCGGCAAUGGACGAAAGACUGACCGAGCAACGCCGCGUGAGUGAAGAAGGUUUUCGGAUCGUAAAACUCUGUUGGUAGAGAAGAACGUUGGUGAGAGUGGAAAGCUCAUCAAGUGACGGUAACUACCCAGAAAGGGACGGCUAACUACGUG